AUUGAACGCUGGCGGCAGGCCUAACACAUGCAAGUCGAGCGGGGUUUUCGGACCUAGCGGCGGACGGGUGAGUAAUGCGUAGGAAGCUACCCGAUAGAGGGGGAUACCAGUUGGAAACGACUGUUAAUACCGCAUAAUGUCUACGGACCAAAGUGUGGGACCUUCGGGCCACAUGCUAUCGGAUGCGCCUACGUGGGAUUAGCUAGUUGGUGGUGUAAUGGCUCACCAAUGCGGCGAUCCCUAGCUGGUGUGAGAGGAUGAUCAGCCAUACUGGAACUGAGACACGGGCCAGACGCCGACGGGAGGCAGCAGUGGGGAAUAUUGGACAAUGGGCGCAAGCCUGAUCCAGCCAUGCCGCGUGUGUGAAGAAGGCCUUCGGGUUGUAAAGCACUUUCAGUAGGGAGGAAGGGUGUUGUGUUAAUAGCACAGCAUUUUGACGUUACCUACAGAAGAAGCACCGGCUAACUCUGUGCCAGCCGCCGCAGUAACAC
rnacentral:rRNA from 1 species